UUGAUCAUGGCUCAGGGAUGAAACGCUAGCGGCAGGCCUAAUACAUGCAAGCCGGACGGCAAGUUGAGUAGCAAUACUUGACCUAGAGUGGCGUAAGGGUGCGUAACACGUAUGCAAUCUGCCCACAGCCGGAGAUAGCCUCCGAAAGGAGGAUUAAUAUCCCAUAGGAAGAUGAGAUGGCAUCAUUUAUUUUUAAACUACGGGGGCUGUGGAUGAGCAUGCGGUUGAUUAGCUAGUUGGCGGGGUAAAGGCCCACCAAGGCGAUGAUCAAUAGGGGACCUGAGAGGGUGAUCCCCCACACUGGCACUGAGAUACGGGCCAGACUCCUACGGGAGGCAGCAGUAGGGAAUAUUGGACAAUGGGUGUAAGCCUGAUCCAGCCAUGCCGCGUGCAGGAAGAAGGCCUUCUGGGUUGUAAACUGCUUUUGCCGGGGAUAAAAGAUCCAUGCGUGGAGAAUUGAAGGUACCCGGUGAAUAAGCCACGGCUAACUACGUG
rnacentral:rRNA from 1 species